CGCGCAGCGGUGCCUCAACCCAACCCCAACCCUGCCGCCGCUCCAAUCCCACCACCGGCGGCCUCCUCCUCCCCUAACGCUGCCGCUCCAGCCCCUCACCUUCCUCGGCCGAUUUAGCGCCGUCGCCGCCUCUUCCUCCGGUGGCAUCCAACCCAAUCGUCAUCUCCUACUCCCCUCUCUUAUUCCCCUGUGACUCGAUGAGGUGGGCCAAGCCGGCGCACGCAGCAAAGUGCGGCUGCGGAUGCAGCUCGGACGCGGGUGCGCGGAGGUGGAGGCGGAGCUGCGGCGGCUGGUGGUGGAUGGGAAUCCCGCCGACCGCGUCCCUCCCCAAACUGCAGCGAUGAUGGAGGGAGCCGCCAGCGCCGGCCAGCUACCGACCGACGGGCUCGCCGGGUCGCCGUUCCUCGGGGGCACCCCCUCGCCCCGUGCCAUAUCGUGCAUCGGCUUGGGGGCCCCUCUGGGCUGCCGCCGGUACGGGAGGCGUCCGCGGCCGUGCGGACUAGGGACCGAGCGGUGGGGCUCGUGGUGCGUUUCGGUCGAGGGCUUGCUCGAUCUGGCACGCGAUCUAAGCCCCCGUCGAUGGAUUUCUCGCAGCUCGGCUGCAUUUUGUUUUGGAUUCAGUACGACCCACAUCUCUCUCGCACACACAUGUUGCGGCCGAAAUCACUGUUUUGACUUAUUUGGAAAAGUUCAGCACAAAAUGAACCAUGUUGGAAACAUAUCUGGGGCGAUGAUGAUAAAACAUGGCUGACAUAAACUUGUGUUUGAUUAUUCGAGGACCUGUGGGCAUAAAAAACCCACUCCCUCCUCUUUUGGAACCUUUUUAUUCUCACUGAAUAUUGACGGCUCUCUCUUGGAUGGUCACUCUUUGAGUGAUAACCAGAGGAGCUCGACUUCAGUGGUGGGGAUUGAUCUGGUGCAAGAAGAUGGUGGAGUCGUGGAUCUAGGUUGUAUGAUCUAUCAAAGGCGAAUCUGAGCCCUCUCAAAUCUCAAUGCAACUAAUAUUGUGGCCUCUACACAUUUAUUUACCCCUUUUAUGUUUAAAAGUGAUGAAUUUUUGUGGUUGUGGCAUCUGCUAUCUCAUUAAGAGCAGCUACGCACAUAUGACAUAUCACCUCUCGUGGUGUUUGGUUUGCCUUCUCAUGAUUUUGUUUUCCAUGGUGGGAACCAGUUUGGUGCAUUCAGACUUUUUCUUUUUCUGUUUUUACUUUUCCUUGAAUGGCUGUGAUCAUUCUGCUGUCCCUUGGAUAGUUUAUUUUAGGUUAUUUUAUCGGGUUUGGGUCAGUUUGCUUGUUUCAAUUGUUGUUUUACUUUUUAUAAUAUCUUCUACUAUACUAUUUAUCUACUUAUCAGUUUGUACUUUUGGUUACUCCCCACUUCUUUACUGGUUUCAACUUAUGGGUCAUAUAGGGAAAGUUCAGAUGUCAAGAUAACGCUUUCCUUCCUAUCAUGUUCAUGAAUGGCUAUGAUGAUAUAGCUUUCCUGCAUCGAUCUAACAUCUGUUUGGAUUUUGUAUAUUGAGCAUUUAGGAGGUUGUUCUCGAUUGAUGCGCUUUGUAGUGGCCGAAUUCGUGUUUAAUUUAUUGCAGGAUAUGAAAUUGAGAGGCUGAUGUAAAUUCGUUUGUGUGUAGAUUUUGUCAGUUCUAGGAUUGGAUGUUUAUUUAGUCUCUCUGUCUCUCCUGGAGGUUAGCAGAUUGAUGGAUUUGACUGCUGAUCCCUUUGUGUUGGCUGAUGGUGUUGAGAUAGAAAUAAGGAUUAAACAUGAUCCUGAUGCUGAGGCAAUAUUCCAAUAUCAUUAGAGGGCCAGUGUUCUUCCAAAGAUGAUUUAGAAUCUCAAAAAUGUUUCUUACGUAGUCAGGAAUUUGGGUUCAUGGUUGAAGUAACAAAUACAUAUGCAGCUUCUUGGUUCUGUUGUUUACAAUUCCUUUUUUAGGUAUAUUUACAACCUUUGUUGUUCCAUAUAGUUUGCUUCUUAAAUAUCCUAAACAUAUAUUAUCGAAUACACUCACUUUCCUGUUUUUGUGAUAAAAUGAAAAGAAUAAUGUACAUGUUAAGGACAUGAUAAAUCUUCUUUCAAUUUGGUUAUGAUUUUAGAAUGCUCACAUAUAUUUUCUGUGUUGCAUCACCCCAUGGUCUGUGAUAGUGUCCAACUAGGGAUUUGAAUGUCAGGACCUAGCUAAAACUAUGAUGUUAUCAGGUUAAUAAAUAACACAGUACUGUUUAACUAUUAGGUUCUAUGAGUAUGGCCGGGGUGAAUCCUUCAACUUUGCUCAUAGGCACUGAAAUAAUAAAUAAUUGAUCUUUCAUUUCUUCAUGAAAAAUAUGUCAUUUCGUUUUUAAAGAAAAGUUUAGUAGAACACUGCUAGCUAUAAUUCCCCAUGUGUCUUGGCAUUUUAGGUGGAGUGGGAACCUUUAAGAGGAAGUAUCAAGCGGCACGAGCACCUAUGGUAGAAUGAUGUGUUGAUAGUGUACCUAAUCCACCUGUAUUAACAAUGCAUAUGAUUUUUAAACUCAAGAUUAUAUUAUCAGCUGCAAUCUCUGUUCCCUUUUAAACUCAAGACUUUUAAACAAGAUCAUAUACAUUGUGAACCAAUCAACCAAACAUAGUUGAGUAUACAGUUUAAUUCUGCAAUUUGUUCUACUAGACAAAUUACUGCUGUGUUGAAUCCUUGCUGUGCUGUGCUAAAUUGUUUCCUUAUGUUUGUACCUGCCAGUUCUAACACCUAUUCUUUUCUUCUUAUUUUGUAUCUAUACAUAACAAUUCUAUAUUUCUUACCUCUGCAAUUAUACGACCUGUAGCUUAUUCACAUGGAUCUUAAGGUACUAAACUUCCAAAUUAGAACCUGGCCUAAAUUUGAGAUUUCCCGAAUGUAUACUUUUGUUUUUCUUUCAUUCUUUGGAGGUGAUCUGUUGGUUGCUUAAUGCUCUUUACUGCAUGAGUAAAUUUCUUUUUCUUUAUUUCUAAAGUCAGUUUUAUUUUCUUCGUGAAGGUUUCCUGACGCAAAUAUGUAGUGAAAGCGGUUUGAGAAAAGAAGCAAAUCGUUCGAGCCAACCUAUUUAUAUGGUGUGGAGAAUAUAAGGUUCUUGGCUUAUUGAUAUCAUCUGGUCAUUUUUAUAGGUGCCUGACUACAUAAUGAACUUUCUAGCUGUGUUGAUGACAACAAGAAGAAAAGCUUCUUUGACCAGGUUUGCUAACUUAAUUCAAGCUAUCCUGGUGGACUGACAUCAUACAUCCAGAAUGCCAAAAGGCUUUUGGUAGAUUGCAAGGCAGGAUAAAAUCCAUACGAUGGUUCCACACCUUCAGAUAUGUAACAGCCUUCAGUUUACAUGAUCUGAAAUAGCUCGAGAACUCGGCAUUCAAACCUCGCUGGCGCUGGGCUAGAUGGGCUUGCUGUCUGCCACAUUGCUCAUGGCUCUUGCAUUCACUCAAGAAUCAGGGCAAAGUGUGGAAUGACAACUGUUUUCAGAAGCAAAAAACUUGAAUUGGGAAUGGAACCCUUGAUGGAUUGAUGUUUGCUGAAGAAAGUCCUUGCAGCAAAGAAGAACAUGAAGCAGAUUCAUGGAAUAUAAGUACACGGUAGACUGUAGCAUUGAUCAUUGCUAUCCUGUACAUAUAGUCCAACCAACUGCUCCGAGAGGAACCAAGGCGACGUGCAAGUUGGCGUCUGUGAAGCUUUGUCGGAGCCAUUCCUGCUCUUCCAGAGCCACAAGGAGAGCCUAAAAGUCAGGGCAGAAACGUGUCCGGCUGUCGUACGAGAAGAAGUGUGCACGCCUGAGGAGCCAGGGCGCCAAUGGUGCGGAGUCGUUCGCCAUCAAGAGGACCAAAGCUGCCAUCAGUGACCACCGGAUCAAGCUCAACAUCUCCCUCACCUCUGUCAACGCCCUGUCCCAGAGGGUCGUCGCCGUCCACGAUGAGCCCGCAGCUUGCGGAGCUCAUCCAAAAGCGGGCAAGGAUGUGGCGACUCAUCGGCGACGUGCACCGGGUGAUGUAGUGCAUAGCGGACAAGGCGAGCGUGCUCCUCUGGUUGUCGGCCACAUGGUUGGAGGGAGGCAUCAAGGGCUCGCUGCUACCGGGGCGGACACAUGCACAAUUUAUAUUGAUAUAUCUUAUUUUGCCAAACAGCAAGAUAUAUGCUCCUGAUGCUAUUAACCUGACAUGGAAUUUCAGUUUCUUUCACAUGAUACAUCAAUAAAUAUAUAGAGAUCCAGAUGUGUUGCAUUUCCGCUGGUUUCUUCUAUUAUAAAUGUCAGUUUUUUCA